GAAAAUGAUGAGAUAUAUUUGGAAUCUCGUUCGUCUGAAUUGCUGUUGAGAAAUCUAAAUCUGACAUCA
ensembl:snoRNA SNORD30 Small nucleolar RNA SNORD30